rnacentral:lncRNA from 1 species
AUGAGGUGUUCAGGAUCCCAGGCUGCUCCAAGCCCUGUCUGGGGCACUUGCAGGGAUGCGGGGGCAGCCGCGGCCUCUCUGGACGGCGGUGGCACCGCUGUGGUGACACUCAGCCCCUUACCCUGUGUCCCUUUCCCUCCCUGCCCAGAUCACCAUGCUGAGGAUGAUCUCAGAGCACACGGCCGGGCCCUGCCGGGCCGGCUCCGGGGAGCCCCGGCGCUGGGAGCCGCGCCAGGAGUGCGACCUGUCGCUGACCGCCGUGCGCCUGGCCUCCCUCAACCAGAUCCUGGACCCCUGGGUGUACCUGCUGCUGCGCAAGAUCCUGCUCCGCAAGCUCUGCCAGGCAGCCAGCACCGUGUCCAAGUGCUCCAGCGCCGAGUGCCGGGACAGGGACAGGGACAGGGACAGGGACAGGGACAGGGACAGGGACAGAUCUGUCUCCCUGCCCGAGGAGAUCCGCCGGACCGCGGCCUGAGGGUGUUCCCUGCGGGGAAACCCUCCUGGGAGCCUGCUGACCCCUCACGGUGUCACUGCUGGAGCCAGAGCGCCAAAUUCUUCCUGCAGGUGCCACAAGUGCUGGGAUACAGCAGGACACGACCCUCUGCAGCCAUGGCUGAGCUGCACAGCGAGAGGAGGACACGUCCUCAUCCAUGGUCACUGCAGAAUGGGAGGAGGACACGUCCAAUGGUCACUGCCACUCGUGGCUGAGAUGCACAGAGGAAGGUGAUGUCUGAGUCCAGCCUAAAAGCCAAGGUUUAGCUUUAAUUGAAGACCCAGCCUAAAUUUAAUGGAUUAAAUGCCUUUUUCAGUUUGAGUUGCUGGACCCUGCUCUGUGCUGAGCCACUCCUGGUGUAACAACUACAGGUUCAUCAGUGCUUCAGGGGAAAAAUGCUUUAAAAAGUGCCUUGCAGGAGUCAGACUCUGCUUUGUUGGGAUUAUUUGGGGCUGGAAAAAGCCUCUUGUGUGCAGAGGAUCCCUUCUGUUCCCUCUGUGUACUUUUCCUUUGGGAAAGAGCUCAGCAGAGCCGUUCACUUGUGAAAUAUGUCGGGAUGACCUCAGCUGCCUGGAUCAGCCCUGGCCAGCACAUUCCUGGCUCCCAGAUUGUCUGGAGUCAUGGCUGGGAUGGAGGGAAGGGAGAGGGAACCCACGCCUGUUAUCCCCCCUUGAUGGGAAAAGCAGGGUGCUGUGCCUCCUGAGCGUGGAAAUCUGGGGAUGGGACACUGGGAAGGGCCCUCCAGCAGAUUGAGAUGAGUCCUGAUGUCAGGGUGGGUUCACUGCACUCCCAUGAAACUGCUUUUGUCACCAAUAGUCAGUGCUGGGAUGGGCACUUCUGUCCCUCUGGGGGGUAAAAUGAAGGAGCUGCUUCAUCCAGGUGGGAAGGGAUGGGAGCUUUCCCCAGAUGGGAAGGGAUGGGAGCUUCCCGUUUGUUUACAGGAGAGGGGUGGGAGCUGUGCCCUCCAGCCCUGGCUCAGUGAGGGGCUGCACUUCUAAACCUGAUCCAAGUGCACCUGGGAGCUUUCAUUCCCAUCUCUGUGGGUCGGGGAGCUGUGUCUGUGUCGUGGUACUUUUCAGCCUGGUUUUGUGUGCUGUCCCUCUGCCUGAGGUGUUCUGGGAGCCGCAGGGCACAGAAAAUGCACCUGGAGAUCACGCUUUGCCUGCAAACCACUGGUGUGUGUCCCACCUGUGUGUGUUGUACCAGCGAGAAUAAAAAACCAGAGUGACCCUGGCCUUGGCUGGGU